rnacentral:tRNA from 2 species
GCUCUAUUCGUCUAUCGGUUAGGACGCAAGAUUUUCAUUCUUGAAAGGGGAGUUCGAUUCUCCCAUAGAGUA